rnacentral:tRNA from 1 species
CGCUAAGAAGCUAAAUAGGGCAUAGCGUUAGCCUUUUAAGCUAAACACUGGUGACUCCCGCCCACCCCUAGCGA